GGGCCUAUAGCUUAGGGGCAGAGCACUCGGUUUGCAUCCGAGAGACGCGGGUUCGAUUCCCGCUAGGUCCA
rnacentral:tRNA from 1 species